CAGUGUCCCAGGGUUCCAAGAGCCUUUCCUUUCCUUAUGUCAUCACUUGACCCCUGUAACCUCAUUGAUUUUGCACAUAUGUUAAUGCCAGAGGGAAAGAUGCUAGACUGUCCUCAAAUGGCACAAAGAAGGGGCACUGCCUUCCCAGUGCAGCCAUGGUAACAGGGACAACUGACAUAUUACUUGAGGUUAGCAGAUGUCUGAGCAGAACAUAUGGUCAUAACCCUUAAUGGGGACAGAGGAGUGAUCUGAGCCCAAGAUGUGAGUAUAGUUUUCUGGGGUCUGUGCAAGGCUGGUGAGCAUGGCCCCUGUUAAGAGCAGCCACACUACUGAGCUCCAGAGGCUGCAACUUGUGCUGAUCCCACCUGCCCACAGAAGCCAGGAAACUCCAGAUUCAAAACUACUGCUGUGAUGGUCUCCUGCUCCUUACUAGAUGGCUCAGAGAAGUUCACCUGGGAGUGUAUCAGGACCCAGGAAACUUAAUGGACAUGUGUCAAAAGCAGAUGAUAACUUGCCACCAGAGAAGGUAAGGUAAGAUUGGGAGCCCUCAGAGGAUGAGUAGAUAGAACU
rnacentral:lncRNA from 1 species